CGGAGGAGUCGAGGGCGUACGAGACUCCCACGCGCGGAAGCAUCCCGUCGUCCGCCCCCAGCGUCUGCCGCCAUCGCCCCUAGCUCGCGGGCUCGCCGCUGGCCUCCGGCGAUCGUCGUGGUCCCUCGCCGCCGCACGCCCUCGCUGCCUCGCCGGUCGCUAGCUUGUCCUCCACGGCUCCACCGUUCGCCGCACAGCCAAAGCCUGCCCUCAAUCCCCAAUUCCCACCACGCCGUAGUGCGGCUCUGCAUCGUCAGGCAAUCCCCAAUUGACGAGUUAUAUGUACCCAGAAGAUCUAUCUUGAGACGGUCACUUGCACCAAACCAGGGCAUGCAUUGAACGGAACAGGAGAAAUGGUCACAGUCUCUAUCACGUAUCGUAUGACAUCUUUGCCUGCUCCCCUGCUCGACUAAUUGUACAUGCAUGAGCUACUCUAAUUAAUUCUGCAUGGUAAGUUGUUUUCUCAUUCAAGAGGUUUCCAUGAAACCGGCCAUACAUUGACCGGUCGUCGACAUCACGGGAUGGCAGGUAAAUCUUAUUUCAUUUGUUUAAUUAGUUGUUGAACAAGUUACCGUGCAUUUCCACCCUAUACUUUGGUCAAACCAGAAGAACUUGUUGCACACUAAGUCGUCGAAUGCUUUGCUUGUGAGUUAGACAACUAAUUAAUUAAAUUUUUACUAGCUAGAAUGGUUCAGAGAAAAGCCAAGUCAUGUAGCGUUUGUUCCUCGAGGUUCAUCGACCUCGACAAGCUAGCUAAGAUCGCUCGAUCAUCUCAUGCAGAGACGAUGGAUUUGUGUGUCAGGCCGGGGUGGAGCACAUGAUAGGUUGGGGUCAAAUAUGAAAUCAAUGGAUUUUUCACUAUUAUAGAGGAAUUUAGUACAUAACAAUGAUGAGCCUUGAGCCUUCGCAACAAAAAAAAAAGAAAAAGAAAAAAAGAGAGGAGCCCAGACGAGCUUGAGGUGGGGAAGGGGUAAGGGGCCACAAAAUGAGAAGAGAAGACUUCUUUUGUUCCUCUUUCUUUUACAAAAGCACACACACACGUGUUAGAGCUGAUGUAGCGUAGACAGGCGGUUGACACAAUUAGUGUACUUUUUUUACUCAAGUUUAUAUUGUCAUAGUAUUGGAACUAAUUUGAUACCCUGCAAGCCAAGGGAUAGUUUAGUCUGGUGACGGUAACACCUUGGGUAGUUGGGUGCGGCUCUCCUCCAUGGAGACAUCAUCGAGGUCCUUGUUCCCCUCUCUUGUGGGAACUUGAUGGCCGGUCGGAGCUCAGUGACAUGUCAGGAUAUCAUGUACUGCAGCAGAGAACUUCAGGUCACUGUCGUUCGAUCUACGGCGAGGUGGAGCAGCGUUUCUGCCAGAAGCUGAGGUCAUCAGCGUUUGAGUUGUGCUCACGUUUAAUUUUUUCUUUUGUUUGCUUCAUCUUGUUCAUUUUUCCUUGUAAUCUGGUCAGCACCUUGUAUAUAUAGUUUGGUUGUGUAGGAUUUCAUUAAUUUAAAACCAGGCGUAAUGCCGUUCUUUAAGAUGAUACAACAACACAGUACCUAUUCAAGACAGCCAAGGUUCUCUAGGUGCACUGGCCCUAUUUGAGACUCAUGUGAUCUAAUAUACUUAGUCAUUAUAUUGAGCCUUU